rnacentral:rRNA from 1 species
GACGAACGCUGGCGGCGCGCCUAACACAUGCAAGUCGAACGGUGAACCGGGCUUCGGCCCGGGGAUCAGUGGCGAACGGGUGCGUAACACGUGGGCAACCUGCCCCCGACCCUGGGAUAACCCCGGGAAACCGGAGCUAAUACCGGAUACUCUCCUCCGACCGCUUGGUCGAGGGAGGAAAGGUCCGCCGGUCAGGGAUGGGCCCGCGGCCUAUCAGCUUGUUGGUGGGGUAACGGCCUACCAAGGCGACGACGGGUAGCUGGUCUGAGAGGACGACCAGCCACACUGGGACUGAGACACGGCCCAGACUCCUACGGGAGGCAGCAGUGGGGAAUCUUGCGCAAUGGGCGAAAGCCUGACGCAGCGACGCCGCGUGGGGGACGAAGGCCUUAGGGUUGUAAAGUUCUUUCACCGAUGAAGAUAAUGACGGUAGUCGGAGAAGAAGCCCCGGCUAACUUCGUGCCAGCCGCCGCGGUAACAC